rnacentral:rRNA from 1 species
UGGGGAAUAUUGGACAAUGGGCGCAAGCCUGAUCCAGCAAUGCCGCGUGGGUGAAGACGGCCUGCGGGUUGUAAAGCCCUUUGGGUGGGGAAGAACGGUGGUUUGCGAACAGCGGACUGCUCUGACAUUACCCACGGAACAAGCACCGGCUAACUCCGUGCCAGCAGCCGCGGUAAUACGUAGGGUGCGAGCGUUAAUCGGAAUUACUGGGCGUAAAGCGUGCGCAGGCGGCUCUUUAAGUCAGAUGUGAAAGCCCCGGGCUUAACCUGGGAACUGCGUUUGAAACUGGAGAGCUGGAGUGUGGCAGAGGGAGGUGGAAUUCCACGUGUAGCAGUGAAAUGCGUAGAGAUGUGGAGGAACACCGAUGGCGAAGGCAGCCUCCUGGGCCAACACUGACGCUCAUGCACGAAAGCGUGGGGAGCAAACAGGAUUAGAUACCCUGGUAGUCCACGCCCUAAACGAUGUCAACUGGUUGUUGGGAAGGGAAACUUUCUUAGUAACGAAGCUAACGCGUGAAGUUGACCGCCUGGGGAGUACGGCCGCAAGGUUA